rnacentral:lncRNA from 1 species
GUUAGUAGGCCUCAUUCACGAAGCCGGUCUAUAAGGUGGGUAUAAGGUUGUUGCCUAUAAAAUGGCGACUUAAUGGGUGUAUACUCUCACCCACCGCUUGCUUGAUCGGUGGAGGGUCGUUAGCCGAACGGGUAGAACAACGACUUUAAAUCCUCAUUAAAAGUAUAAUGAAUAUUAUAAAAUAACUAAACUCUUUUAAUUCCCAAUCUUAGUUAUUUUAGGAAAAUGUGAACAUGGUGCUAAUCCAUGGAAUUCACACUUUGUACCUUACCAAGUCGUUAGUGGAGCGUGUGUGGUUAACCGGCACACUAAUUAGACUAGUAAGGAUCACGAAGGGUAACUUAAUGUUGUCAUAGAUCAAUGGAGCGUGUGUGGUUAACCGGCACAUUGAUUAGGUGAUAAUAUUAGGAGUACCAAGUGAGUUAGCAUGGUUAUUCACACCUUGUUUUGUGAUCCUCGGCAUCCCAGUCACAAAACUUGAAGGGCACAAUCGAGAUUGAAACAUGCCAUUGAAAAGUUCAAUGAAUCUCAAAAGAAUCUAGGAAUUUCAAAUCCAAUUAAACCUAAUUAAUCAUUUCGUUUUCAUGGUGGAAAUUGGUGAAUCGUCAUUCGCCUACCUUUCAAAUAUAUUAUUACUUAGAUUACGGCAUCCCUCUUCUAAGUGUAAUAUAUUGUGAUUGGAUCCUAGCCUUAAUAUUACAUUUGGGUGUCUUAUUAAGGAUCCUAAAUAUCUAAUCUAAACUUACUUUCUUCUUUCAGAUGUCUUCCAACACUAAUGCUUCAGGCUCUAACCCAACUGGUUCUUUCUCUCUCAUGAAUCUUUGUGGGAGGGUCAUCUUUGAUGGUUCCAACUUCAUGGAUUGGAUUAGGAACAUCAGGAUGGUUACUCGUUACGAGGACAAGGAAUAUGUCCUCGAUAAGGAGUUAAAAGAACUUGAUGAGUCUACUGCUACUCCUGAGGAGAUCGCUGAAUUCAGGACUCAUGAGAGAGAUGCUACUAAGGUGGCAUGUAUCAUGAUGGCCACGAUGACAGCCGAGCUCCAAAAGUCAUAUGAAGAUUUCUACCCUUUUGAGAUGCACCAAGACUUGAUGGAAAGGUACCAUCAGAGUGCUCGUCAGGAGCGGUAUGAAAUAAUCUCCUCCAUAAUAACUACCCGCAUGAAGGACGGUGAAUCCGUCACGGGCCACAUGCAAAAGAUGCAAAGGUAUGUGGACCGUUUGCUGAAGCUGAAUGUUAACAUCCCCGAGGAGUUAGCAAUUGACAUCAUUUUGCACUCCUUGCCUUCUUGUUAUGAUCAUUUUCGAAUGACAUAUCAUAUGAACAAGGAGGAAGUUACCCUCAGCAAGCUUCAAGGACUCUUGAAGACCGCUGAAACCGGUCUUAAGGGUAAAGCGGUUGUUACCUCUACUACUCCUACUCCAACUUCUACCCCUGUUUUAGCUAUUGGGCAAGGCAAAGGGAAAAAGAGGAAGCACCCUUCGAAGGGUACCAAGGGAAAGUCUCUUGAAGGCUCCUCAUCCAAGACUAAGAACGGUUCUGUCACUCCUUCUGCCAUUCCAAAGGAUGCUGAAUGCUUUUAUUGCCAUGAAAAGGCACACUGGAAGCGAAACUGCCCUAAGUACUUGCAGGAUCUAAAGGAUGGGAAAGUGAAACCCACCUAUGCAGGUAUUUACACUAUAUUGUCUAAUUACUCAACAUAUUCUAACUCUUGGGUGCUUGAUACAGGAUGUGGUAUUCACAUAUGUUCUGAUUUGCAGGGCCUAAGAAGAAGUGAGGAUGUGGAGCACGGGAAGAUAAACUUAAUCAUGGGGAAUAGGAAGGCUUCACCUGUUUCCAAGAUUGGAGUUUAUACUUUGUUGCUUAAUAAUGGGUUAAAAUUAGAUUUGAAUAAAUGUGUAUACUCGUCUGAAAUGGCGAGGAAUAUUAUUUCUUUUCAUGCUUUGUACAAACAAGGUUUUACCUUUUCGUUUGAUAAUGAAUGUGGUGGUAUUAAUGCUUUCUUUAAUAAUGUGUUUUAUUUUAAAGCAUUACCUUGUGAUGGCGUGUAUGAAACUGUGUCGAUUGUAGACAACUUAGGAAAUAAUGUGUUGUAUAUUGAUUCUUCUACUAGCCUAGAUAAAGCAUCAUUGUGGCAUUGUCGUCUUGGACAUGUAAACAAGAAACGCAUAGACCAACUCCAAAAGAGUGGAGUCUUGGAAUCAUUUGACCUCAAAUCAGAUGAUAGUUGUGAAUCUUGUCUACUUGGAAAAAUGACAAAAUCACCCUUCACUGGAACUUGUGAGAGGGGUGAAGGUUUGUUGGACCUAAUACAUACUGAUGUAUGUGGGCCAUUCAAAACCGCCACAAGGGACGCUAAUCGGUAUUAUGUGACUUUUAUUGAUGAUUAUAGUAGAUAUGGGUAUGUCUACUUGAUCAAACACAAGUCCGAAACCUUUGAAAGGUUUAAGGAAUUCAAACAGGAAGUAGAAAAUCAAUUGGGCAGGAACAUUAAGAUGCUUCGAUCCGAUCGAGGUGGUGAGUAUCUUAGUACCGAGUUCCUUGACUAUCUUAAGGAGUGUGGGAUUGUCUCACAAUUGACUCCUCCCAGGACACCACAGCUGAAUGGUGUAGCUGAGAGGCGUAAUCGUACCUUGUUGGACAUGGUUCGCUCUAUGAUGAGUCGAGUUUCGUUACCAAUCUCUUUUUGGGGGUAUGCCUUAGAGACUGCCGCCCAUAUCCUUAAUCUAGUCCCUACAAAGAAGGUUACCAAAACACCUCAUGAAAUGUGGACUGGGAAGGUUCCCAAUUUGGACCACAUCAAAAUUUGGGGUUGCGAAGCCUUCGUGAGGCGUGAAACUCAUGAUAAGCUUGAACCCCGAAGUGAAAGGUGUAUUUUCAUCGGCUACCCACAGAAAUCCUUCGGUUACCUUUUCUACAGACCCAGUGAGAAUGUGGUCUUUGUAGCACGAAGAGGGAUCUUUCGCGAGAAAGAAUUUAUAAGCCAAGGAGACAGUGGGAGGCAGAUUGAUCUUGAAGAAAUUCAAGAAUCAAUUGGUGAAGGAACCUCAGACACUAGCAAUCAACCUGAGGAAGAAACUCCUGUUGAUCCAGCUGACGAGUCUGUACCUCCGAGACGUUCCACACGGGUUAGGAACACACCUUCGUUUUAUUAUGGUUUUCAUAUUACUACGGAAGGUGAUACGUUUAUUAGUGAUAGUACACUAGUAAAUUUGGAUGAACCUAGCAGUGUUAAGGAAGCCAUGGCAGGCCCGGAGUCUGCUAAAUGGAAGGAGGCUAUGGACAGCGAGAUACAGUCCAUGUAUGACAAUCAAGUUUGGAACUUGGUUGACAAUGUACCAGGCCGUAAAACAGUCGGGUGCAAAUGGAUCUUCAAAAAGAAGACCGACAUGGAAGGAAAAGUGCAUACUUAUAAGGCUCGACUGGUUGCGAAGGGUUUUACUCAAACUCAAGGUAUUGAUUAUGAUGAAACCUUCUCGCCGGUGGCCAAGAUUAAGUCUAUUAGGGUUAUGUUAGCCAUUGCAGCAUUUCAUGAUUAUGAAAUAUGGCAAAUGGAUGUCAAAACCGCUUUCCUUAAUGGAAAGUUGGCUGAGGAUGUGUACAUGAAUCAGCCAGAGGGUUUUGUCAAUGCAGAGUACCCUAAUAGAGUAUGCAAGCUUAAGAAAUCCAUUUAUGGAUUAAAACAAGCAUCUCGUAGCUGGAAUCUUUGUUUUGAUGAGAAGGUAAAAGAGUUUGGCUUCUUGAGAAGCGAAGAUGAGUCUUGCGUGUAUGUCAGAGCUAGUGGGAGUAUAGUUAGCUUCUUGGUACUGUAUGUGGAUGACAUACUACUCAUAGGAAAUGACAUCCCAACCUUGCAGGAGGUUAAGUCCUGGCUUGGGAAGUGCUUUGCUAUGAAGGACCUAGGGGAGGCUACCUAUAUCCUAGGGAUAAGGAUAUUAAGAGAAAGGAGUAGAAGACUAAUUGGACUUAGUCAGAGUAUCUACUUGGAUAAGGUGUUGAAAAGGUUCAACAUGGAGAAUUCCAAGAAAGGAGAUUUACCGAUCCAAAGCAAUACCAAACUGAGUAAGACUCAGAGUCCGAGUACAGAGGCUGAGAUAGCUGAGAUGAGCCAAUUACCAUAUGCUUCCGCAGUUGGCUCGAUCAUGUAUGCUAUGACUUGUACCCGUCCUGAUGUGGCAUUUGCUUUGAGCAUGGUCAGCAGGUAUCAGGGGAACCCUGGCAAGGCUCAUUGGACCGCGGUAAAGAACAUUCUCAAGUACCUGCGGAGGACUAAGGAUUGGGUCCUUACCCUUGGUGGCAGUGAUGACUUGAGAAUAUUAGGGUAUAGUGAUGCUGGUUUUCAGACUGAUAGGGAUAAUUUCCGCUCUCAGUCGGGCUGGAUCUUUACCUUAAAUGGAGGGGCAAUUUCUUGGAAGAGUUCCAAGCAGGAGACGGUGGCUGAUUCGACUUGUGAAUCAGAGUAUAUAGCAGCGAGUGAAGCAGCGAAGGAGGCGAUAUGGCUAAAGAACUUCAUCGGAGACCUUGGAGUUGUACCAGCUAUUAAGGAACCUAUAGAGAUUUUCUGUGACAACAAUGCUGCGGUUAUCUUAGCCAAGGAACCAAGAGAUCAUGGCAGAUCCCGACACAUUGACAGAAAAUAUCACUUCAUAAGGCACAAGAUUGAAGAAGGACUCCUUGUGACAAGGAGGAUAUCGUCAGAUGAGAAUCCUGCAGAUCCCCUUACGAAGGGACUGACGAGGGUUAAGCAUUUUCAGCAUGCGAGACGCAUCGGGCUGAGGGACGAUAUUAGUUUUACAGAUUAGAUAGUUUUCCUGAAACUUGUAAAAUGUAAUCGACGUUUGAUGAUGAAUAAAAUUUGUGAUUUAUUUAUGAGUAAAGUGUUACUAUCAUUGUCAAUUAUUUACUAUUGUUUCAGUUUUGCAUGUUUUGACUUCCAGAAUAAUUAAUUUGUUCAAACCUCCACAAUCGAUCAUACGUCGGAAGUAGGUAUGAAUCAAGAUUGUCAUGAAUUGGGUUUGUAGAUGCCUUAAAGGUGUUUAGGCAUGGCAAUGGUUGCUGCAACAUUCAUGAGUACUCAUAAGUUAUGAGUAUUGGUAUAAACCCACGCUCACUUGUAUCACUUCAUGGAAUUUAUCUCGAGUGAUCGUGAGACGAUAACAUCAUAUAAAUCUUUAAACCUAGAGAUAUGAGUUGUUACCUAUGAGUUGGUUGUGCAUUGAUUGCACGUAAACGCAUCAGUAACUUGAUGUUAUAAAACGUGCCUUUGUGUACAAUUCAAUAAGUAGUAGAACAAGCAUAUCAGUCGAAGUUUAUCUGUUCCUUCUAGAAAUAGAAGCGAUAUCCGGGCCCCUCGAUGAUUUUGUGUUGACCCAUAUACCAGGCCUGGUCAGAACUAAACCGAUGUGUUCAGUGAAGUUCUUCGUCAAACAAAUCGGAUAAUCGAGAAACAACUGCUAGACAAUAAGCAAGACAUAGUUCCAUGUGUUUGUCCGGCUGAUAUCAUGAGAACAGAGGAUUAUGUGAUCACUUAUCUAAAAUGGCGCUUCAUAGUUCGACAGAGUCUUCAUUGUUCGAGGGAGUUUUCGAGAGCUACGAUUGUUGGUUGGUUCCUGAAGUUAUAGGCAAAUAUAGUUAUUAGACUUAUCCAAGUGGGAGUCUGUUGGAUAAGGUGUCUAAGUCCAUAACUUAUUUGGUAUAUACUUGACCCGACCGGCAUGGUCCAUUUGGGUUGCAUCUCAUCCAAACUAUUUAUGGAUAAUUUUAUGAGAGUUAUACACAUAUGUUUAUUAAUAUAUUAUAAGUUAUAAUAUAUUAAUAUGAAGUUAUGUUAUUUAAUUAGUAUUAGUCUUAAAUUAAUUAUGAAUUAAUUUAGAGAUUAAAAGGAAGACUAAUUAGAUUAUGGGCUAUUGGUUUUAUAUGGUGUGGGCUAACACUCAUUUGUUAAUGGGCUAGGCUUAUAUGGAAGUCCAUGGAUGAUCCAUGGAGCUUUUAACCCAUGGAUCCUUGGAAAAGGAAAGGUCAUGGGUUAUUAGGGUUUCACCCUAACCAUGCACACUAUAUAAGCAUGCUUAUGGAGCAUGAAAUGGCAACUAGUGAACUAGUGUGUGUGAGCUUGUGUGUGGCCGAAAUAUACAAGUGUGUAUACUCUCUCAAAGUUUUCCAAGAGUUUGUGGUGUUUUGUGAUUCCAUUUGAGGCAUUCACACUAUUGGUGCUUGGCCCUCAAACUCCUCAAGAAUCAAACUCAUCAAAAAGGUAUGUAAUCUCUUCUAACUCUUUUAUGUUGAAAUGUUCCCCAUGCCAUGUUAGAUAGGUUAUGAACCUUGGAAAAUUAUUAUUUUGCAUGUAUUUAGACAAACAUAGAUCCAAGGUUUAUUAGGGUUGCAUGCACACUUAGGAAGUGUUAGAUUGCUCAAAACCCAACAGUGGUAUCAGAGCCUAGGCUUGCUUGUUUGAUACUUGAUGCAAAAUAGUUGAAAAAGUCGAAAAACUUGCUGUCUGACUGAUGAACUCGCCGAGUCCAUGGGGGGACUCGCCGAGUCCAUGUGUAUCUUCAACCUACUCGCCGAGUAGGUUCAUGCACUCGACGAGUAGGAGCGACAGAGUGCAGAUUUUCGACUUUUGCUGCUGGAAAUGGACUAGAAACAUUACCCUAAACUGUUUUGGUGUUUUAAAACUUGUUUUAGUUGGUGUAAUGGUUGUUCUAAUCCAUUUACAAUAGCAUAUAUCAAAAUUCCAUGAUUUUUAUGUGUUCAUAUAAUUCUUGAAAUUUUGAUGAUCAUGUUCAUGUUCUUAUGAAUUUAGAAGAUGAUAGGAAUUAUUUGCUGAAUUGUUUAGAAUUAAUUCUUGAUCAUUUAUGUGUUUUAAUGGAGUCCAUAAUUUGUCCUCAAGUUAUGGAUAUCCAAAGGUCACUUUCUUUAACACACACAUUUAAACACAUAAGUUACAUGAAAAUGAAGAGUCUUCAUUUUUAUGAACCUUUAAUUCAUAAGUUAUGAAAUGAAAAGUUUUGGAUAGUUACAAAACUUGUCCUCAAGUUUUGGAAUUUGUAAAGUUUCACACACUUUAAUAAACUUUAAUUCCAACCCUUAGAGUUUUAAUAGUUAAAAUUCAACCCUUAUACUAUUUAUAACAUUAAUGGUUAAUUAUUAUAUAUAUGUAUAAGAAUAAGUCGUUCUACCGUUAGUAGGCCUCAUUCACGAAGCCGGUCUAUAAGGUGGGUAUAAGGUUGUUGCCUAUAAAAUGGUGACUUAAUGGGUGUCCAUUCUCACCCACCGCUUGCUUGACUGGUGGAGGGUCGUUAGCCGAACGGGUAGGACAAUGACUUUAAAUCCUCAUUAAAAGUAUAAUGAUUAUUAUAAAGUAACUAAACCUUUUAAUUCCCAAUCUUAGUUAUUUUAGGAAAAAUGUGAACAUGGUGCUAGUCCAUGGAAUUCACACUUUGUACCUUACCAAGUCGUUGGUGGAGCGUGUGUGGUUAACCGGCACACUAACUUGGACUAGUAAGGAUCACGAAGGGUGACUUAAUGUUUGUCAUAGAUCAAUGGAGCGUGUGUGGUUAACCGGCACAUUGAUUAGGUGAUAAUAUUAAGGGUACCAAGUGAAUUAGCAUGGUUAUUCACACCUUGUUUUGUGAUCCUCGGCAUCCCAGUCACAAAACAUGAAGGGCACAAUCGAGAUUGAAACAUGCCAUUGA